UAGAAUGACAAAACAAGUGUUUAAACAAAAAAUAAAAAUAGAACACACAUCUGAAAUAAGUUUCUGACAGGUUUCAGUUAAAAAAGGGGAGGAUUCAGCAUCAACGGAUUUGUCUUGUUUGACUAUAGAUGACAGAAAAAUAAGGUGAAACGGAUACAUGCUAAACAGUCAUGACAAACAAUGUCCAAUGGUGUAGUCGUGUUUCCUAGAUAUUAACUACUGGUUUUAGCUGAAACAGUCUGAAUGACAAGUCUGCAUUUCAAAGAAGCUCUCUUCGUGGUAGUAACAUGUUUGUAUGUCCGAAAUGCUAAAUCUGUAUCCUGUCCUCGAUGAACACGAUCAAUGGCAUUUUCACUCCUAUAUAGAGUCGUGAUAACACUACUUGCUCAUCAGCAUAGCCACAAAUACCAAAAUCGACGACGAACUGGGGCAUUAAUUAAACCGCAGAGAAUCAGCUUGUUACCUCGGCCAAAAGGGGCCAGCUUCCAGCCGCCGCGGACCCCGUGCGCGGGGGGUGCGCCGAGAGGGCGCUCGCCGCUCAGGACGGGAACGCCGCCUCUGGUCGGCGGGCAUUGAACUCCCAUGGAGCAGACGGGCGGCUGCGGGACCGAACGCGUCCCAUCCGGACGGAAUCCGCGCUUCCUCUCCCGCGCCGACGCCACCGGGGCGCUGCCUUCCCUGCGCGCCCACGCUCCGUUCUGCGUUGUUUCCCUCUGCCCCAUGCUGUCCCCCUCCGCGGACUUCGCCGCCGGCGACGAUUUCCACCAGUGCUUGGGGGAGCUUCGCUAACAUGUUAUUUUGUCGAAUUAUUCAGAGAAG
rnacentral:lncRNA from 1 species